AUACCUUUCUCGGCCUUUUGGCUAAGAUCAAGGAUAGUAUCUAUUCUUAUCAGUCUAAUAUCUGAAUAAGUGGGCCAUCGGCUCACAUGAUAUUAAAUUAAUAUUUAGAGGGGGAGAGCCCUUCACAAUAGCUUGCUGUUGGGUUCUCGAGCGUUGCCUUUGGCUUUGCACUACAACCUUCACUUGUUGCACCCCAC